UGCUAUUGUGGGGGCGGGGGUGGGGGUGGGGGUGGAAGAAACGAAACCAAGACAGUGAUUUGUUACCAUUUCAAAAUGCUCCUGGAUUUGCCAUCAGUGUGGCAGUGCAGCUUUAUAUGCAAACACAACCUCUUUAAGAACAUCUUUGUGUCUGAAUAGAAAAUAUUUUGUCUUUUCAGGCAGGAACCUAAUGCAUGGUUUACCCAGAGAUAUAUUUUCCACCAUGUGGCCACAACAAUAAACAUGGGGCUUUUGAUCUGGAUGGCAAUAGUGGCAGAGCCAGAGUUCUAAAAGGAGAAAAAUGGGAAACAAAUCUGCCAGAGUGUCUUUCAGGAAACAACACAGUAUUCUGCAGAGUUCCUGCCAUGCCUUCAGAAAGGUCAUAGAAGUUAAGUGUUCCAGCAGUGAGCCCAACUUUUAGUAGCCUUCAAAGGACUUCACUAGGGCUUAUCCUGUACAUUACAACAGAGGAUAUCAAAGGCACCCCUUGAAAACAUUUAUGCAGUGAGUUCUCACCACCUUUCCAGUCUAGUAAAAGCAUCUGAAUGCUAAACUUUAGUCUACUCUACUGUAUGGAGUAAAAAAUAAAUGUACAAAUGUUAACUAACUGUAUGUCUCCCAUCCCUCUACAAUACACGUUCUCUCUUAGCUUAGUCCAAGGAAAACAAGAUGUUUAUUCUAAUUUUCUUAAAUUUUUUCAAAGUUUUUUUAAUCUUAAAAUUUAUUGAACUAUAGCAGACUUACAGACAAAUACACUAAUCAGAAGUGUAUGGCUUGGUACAUUUUUUUUUUUUCUUUUUAGGGCCGUACCUGCAGCACAUGGAGGUUCCCAGGCUAGGGGUCGAAUCGGAGCUGUAGAUGCUGGCCUACACCACAGCCAUAGCUACUUGGGAUCCGAGCCAUAUCUGCAACCUACACUAUAGCUCACGGCAACGCUGGACCCCUAAUCCACUGAGCAAGGCCAGGGAUCAAACCUUUGUCCUCAUGGAUGCUAGUCAGAUUUGUUUCUGCUGAGCCACAAUGGGAACUUCAUAUGUCUUGAUACAUUUUCAAUAUUACAUUUUCAAGAACCCAAAGCCCUUAUGAACCCACUUCCUGUCAUGAUCCACCCCUCUAAGAGUAUCCACUUUCUACAGUUCUAUCUGGACCAAAGAGUUCUGCUCUAUGAAAAUUGCUUUACUUUAUAUAAAUAGAAUCAUAUGAUACAUUGUCUUUUGUGCCUCACUUGUUUUGUUCCUCUUGUUUGUGAGAUUCAACCUAUUUUCCAUGUACUUUUAGAUUAUUCAUUCUCAAUGCUAUAUAUCAUUUCAUGGUAUAUCUACAGAUAUUUAGCCAUUUUCCAAAAUCAAGUGUUCAUGUACAUAUGAGCAGUGUGGACUCUGUAUUUUGGUCCAAUCAUCUAUUUGUAUGUCUUUUUUCAAUUCUAUAUUGCCGUGUAGACUUAUAAUAAAGCUUGUUAUAAAUGUUAAUUUGUUUUCCUCUUGUUUUUCUGGUAUGCAAUUGACUUAGACACCUUAGUUUUUAAAUUUCUAUGAACAAUUCAAAAAAUAUCCCUAUCCCCACCAUCAAAAGAAAACCUUACUGAAAUUGAGAUACCUUUGAAACAAUAGAUAGAUUUGGGGGUGAAUUGAUGAAAACCUCUGCAAUACCAAAUAUUCUAUUCUAUGAUUAUUUUUAUAUCCCUCCUUUGAUUGAUUAAUUGAUUGAAUGAUUGCCAUACCUACAGCAUAUGGAAAUUCCAACAGCUGCAGGUCUAUGCCACAGCCAGCGCAACACAGGAUCUGAGCUGCAUAUGCAACCUACGCUGCUACUUGCGGCAACGCCGGAUCCUUAACCAUCUGAGCCAGCACAGGAAGUGAACUCUGAACUCGCAUCCUCAUAAUAUUAGGCCCUUAACCCACUGAGCCAAAAUGGGAGCCCUUUUUUUGGUAUUCUUUAACUUGCUUCAAUAACAUUUUGUAGUUUACAGUGUAGAGAGCUUGCACAUAUUUCUUUAGAUAUAUUCCUACAUUGUUGAUGUUUCUUAAUUCAUUUUUACAUUGUAUGACAUUUUUAGCCUCACCUGGGCAACAUGUGAAAGUUUCUGGGCCAGGUACUGAACCUGGCCAGGUACAGAAGCGAC
rnacentral:lncRNA from 9 species